UACGUAGGGGGCAAGCGUUGUCCGGAUUUAUUGGGCGUAAAGAGCGUGUAGGCGGCUUUGCAAGUCCGUUGUGAGAACUCGAGGCUCAACCUCGAGACGCCGGUGGAAACUGCAAAGCUAGAGUCCGGAAGAGGAGAGUGGAAUUCCCGGUGUAGUGGUGAAAUGCGUAGAUAUCGGGAGGAACACCAGUGCGAAGGCGGCUCCUGGCCUGCUCUUGACGCUGAGGCGCGAAAG
rnacentral:rRNA from 1 species